rnacentral:rRNA from 1 species
UACGUAGGGCGCAAGCGUUGUCCGGAAUUAUUGGGCGUAAAGAGCUCGUAGGCGGUUUGUCGCGUCUGCUGUGAAAACUCGAGGCUCAACCUCGGGCUUGCAGUGGGUACGGGCAGACUAGAGUGCGGUAGGGGAGACUGGAAUUCCUGGUGUAGCGGUGGAAUGCGCAGAUAUCAGGAGGAACACCGAUGGCGAAGGCAGGUCUCUGGGCCAUAACUGACGCUGAGAAGCGAAAGCAUGGGGAGCGAACAGG